AGAAAGGAAGAAAGAAACUCAUUUAUUCUAACUUUAUUAUGAUUUGCAAAUCGUGAGAGAACCAACUUCUUUCAAGAGAGUUAAGGAAGAGAUGCUAGGAACUUCCUUAUCACUGACAGUUGUUCCAGGUCCCUCACACCUCUCCCAGCCCAUGCAUGGCCUUCCUCCUGCCUGGCUUUUGUCUGGGUAAGGAACCGUUCCCUGGAGGCUCUAGUCCCAUCAAGAACUUAGAGAAGAAUACCAUCAGUUUUCCCAGUAAUUUGGUUAAUUGCACAGGGAUGCCUAACCUGGAGUAGAGGUGGUGAGACUGUAGAUGGAAAUCUAGCCUGAACUCUACUCUCCAGUUGUCAAGGGGUGGUAAUGGGCUCUGCUCACCCUGAUGUGGGACUGCAUCUGCCCAAGACUCAGUCUAUUUUGUGACCAAGAGUAUGAGCUGGUGGUAGCCCUGGGUGAUGCAGGGGAAACCAGGAAAGUACAGUGUUUCAAGAAGGGAAUGACCAGCUUAUCUCCUAUGUCCCAGCUUGCUGAGUGGCAGCAAAGGAUGCGGGGGUAGCAGGUGAGUGAAGUGCAUUUUACAAUCCAUGCCUUAAUUCCUAUUAUAAGAACCCAUGUCUCUCCCCUCCAAAAGCGCUGUGACUUACUCAGUUUAUAUCCCCCACUGCUCCCAGCACACAUUCAAUAAACAUGUAGAGUGGUGGACGAAUAGGACUGCAUUCCCUGUCUAGGGUUAACUGCUGCCUAUGGGGGAAAAAUGUGCGCCAGAAGUACAAUUGGUUUGUAUUUUAAUUCAUGCUCCAUUUACACUUUCCUGCCAUUUUAGACUGUUUUUUUGAGACUAAACUGUACUGUGUUUUUAAAAAUGUGAAAACAAAGCUAGGCCAACAGUCUGGAUGCUUGCCAAUCUCAAAAGCCAUUACGUAAUGAUUUUCAAGCAUCUGACUACGUCGGUACCCACGUGUAAUUCCUGUCACAGAGUGACAUGCAUAGCCACACUCAGACUGUGUCAGGCAGAAGAGAAUUGCUUCAAGAGCAAUCUGAAGAAACAAAGUCUCUUCAGAUAAGAAAAAAGUUGCUUUAUCAAUUUUUGAUCAGCAGUUUCAAACUCAAAGAAUGUAUAAGUAUAUUACAUUUGUGCUAUUAUAUAUGGAAUGAUAAGAAGGAUUAUUCCAAAUCAAAUUAAGUAUGUCCUAGAUUGAAUUAAAAAGACCACAGUUGAGAUCGAUGGUGACUAGUAUGGGGAAAGAAGUUUUUUGCAUUAGAGAAGAAAAUGAUAAGAGGCCUUGUAGAGUAACCUAGAGAACAAAGAGUCCAAGUAAAUAACAAACAUCUUUUUUGACCUAUUCCAGAUACACAGUUUAGGAGAUCUACUCUACUCUACUAAAUAGAGAAAAAUAUGAAAUGAUGCCACAUAAUGUUCAUGUGGUAAACAUAAAAUGUAAUAAUCAUUCCUUUAAAAAUCCAACCCCAAACCACAAAUCUUCACAGAAAUAGAUUUGCUCCUCUGAAAAGGAGUUUUAUAAGAAAGUGAGGCCAGGACAAAGAAACUGGCUGUUGCCACCACUGCUGGUGCAAGAGGAUUUAAGCAGAAGACAAUGAGACCCUGAGAAGUGGCAGCAGGGACGUAACAGCAAGCCUAUAUCCACCCUGGUUGCUAUCCUGUGCAUGAGAGGCCCCUCCAGAUGCCCAUUGUCAAGCAAGGUAUAAUGUAACAGUUACCUACUAAAUAUUGGAGGACUGCAAAUCAGGAAACUUUUUACUCUGCUUCCUAUUUUAGCCCUGAUACUAUGAUUUUGGAAAAGUUAUUUCUCUACUAAAUGAAGACGACUCCUCCUCCCAUCAAACUGUUUCUUGGGGAACACCCUAAGAUUUUCCAUACUCUUUGGAGGAACCAUGGUAGGGGAGAAGCAGAACACUGGGUAUAAGUUAUUUUAUGUAAGUUUUUGGCAUACAUUAUUGAAUUCUUUGGCUACAGACUCACGUUCUCAAUAUGUUUUGAUAAGCUAAGUGUCAACGGUAACCAUGAAAACAUAUACACAGGCUUGCUGGCAAGAGAAACUGACAUAGGACCAAAAAAAUUGGGGAUUAGAAAGAGAGAAAUACGAAAAUAACCAAGUUGUCUACUGUGAAAUUAAUGAGGCAAUAUCCAAGUGCUUUGUUUAUCUUAGAGAAAAACUGAUAGAAAGUGUACAUGAGGCAAGUCCUGUAAACCAGAGAGACCAGAGCUAUGAGCCAGGUAAUUAUCACUGAGCUUAAGGACAAUGGAACUAAGGAAGUGAACGUAUAGACAGCAUCAUUUCAUUUAGAGCUAACAAUUUAAAAAGAAGUGUCUACUUCACUGAGCAGCACUGAUUUCAUCUUCAAAGUCUUCCUAGUGCCCAUGUGCAGGGAUCUGCCUGGUGUGGACCCCGGGUCCCUGCCUUUUAGAAGCCUCUGGUAUAAGCCUGAUGACACUGAAGUACAGAAGCAUAUACAUCACCUUUCCACCUUUAGGCACCAUUCAGACAUUAGAAAACUGAGAAGGGGUGAGUCUAUCUUGCAGGGAAGACAAAGUCUUGCAAGGCAUGUUUUUUAAAAGGGUGGGAAUCACCAUCCUAUUUGACCAGACAAGCAGGUCUUUGUGUAGGAGGGUGGGGCUGUCAGAGGCUGAAUGAGGGAUGGCUGCAGCUCAGCAGGCUUCUGGGAAAGCAUUUCCAACUGCCCGGCUCAGGCUCAGCAUAGGAGUCAGAAAUGAGGUGGAAAGUAAUGAGCUUUACAGACCAGCAAGUUGGGUGAGAUCACUCUGAGAAACCCAGGCAAGAGCGGUGGAGGUCAUGAUUCUACCUGUUAAUGUUAGCUGUAGAGAAACCAAAGCUCAUAGUCAGUCAGUCCCUACUCCACCAGGUUCCAGGCAUAGACAUCUACCUACAGGUUUGACUUAUGCCUUCUUUUAUAAAGUGCAAGUGAUACUAUUUUGUCUGCCCUUUAUUUGUUUUGUUUGGUGCCCUUUAUUUAUGUCAUGAUCUCAAAGAUCAAUUGUUGAGUAUGUAUAUUCAAAUAACUAGUAAUAAA